rnacentral:rRNA from 1 species
GAGUUUGAUUAUGGCUCAGGAUGAACGCUAGCUACAGGCUUAACACAUGCAAGUCGAGGGGCAGCAUUAUCUUAGCUUGCUAAGAUAGAUGGCGACCGGCGCACGGGUGAGUAACACGUAUCCAACCUUCCGGUUACUCGGGGAUAGGCUUUCGAAAGAAAGAUUAAUACCCGAUGUUGCGUAUCUUUCUCCUGAAAGAUACGCCAAAGGAUUCCGGUAACCGAUGGGGAUGCGUUCCAUUAGGCAGUUGGCGGGGUAACGGCCCACCAAACCUUCGAUGGAUAGGGGUUCUGAGAGGAAGGUCCCCCACAUUGGAACUGAGACACGGUCCAAACUCCUACGGGAGGCAGCAGUGAGGAAUAUUGGUCAAUGGACGGAAGUCUGAACCAGCCAAGUAGCGUGAAGGAUGACUGCCCUCUGGGUUGUAAACUUCUUUUAUACGGGAAUAACAUGAGGUACGCGUACCUUAUUGCAUGUACCGUUAUGAAUAAAGCAUCGG